CAACUUUCAACAACGGAUCUCUUGGUUCUGGCAUCGAAGAAGAACGCAGCGAAAUGCGAUACGUAGUGUGAAUUGCAGAAUUCAGUGAAUCAUCGAAUCUUUGAACGCACAUUGCGCCCUUUGGUAUUCCAAAGGGCAUGCCUGUUCGAGCGUCAUUU
rnacentral:rRNA from 1 species